ACCAUGCCUAAAAACGUGAAGGCCGGCUGGAGUACGUAAAAGUUUCGGCGCCCUGCCAAGCACGAGAAUGGCCGGAUUCUGAAGUAGUAUCGGCUUUAUUUCGCGGCUAUGAUCAAAGGACUUAAUUCGGCGGUCAGCGGCUAGGCCGCUUAGGCGUACAGCUAGCGGUGAGGUGCCUGCACACUUACUUGGCUCCGGUGGCUUCUCACGCGCUGUGACAUCAACAGUCGCCGUUCGUCGAAUGCGUUAGGUUGCUUCGUGAACUGCGUCAGUGAUCUUUUAUCGUUGUAAAGACGUGCAGUGGGAAGAAUGGCGAAGUCUUGUGUUCAAAGUACCGUCCUCAGCGUGGAUACAACGCAAGACGUGAAAAAUGGUGAUUUCAGUGAUGAGCCAAUUGCAGAACCAACCCGAAAAGAGGCCAAGGAAGGGGGUGGCAAACACAAAAAGAGGAAGCAUAAGCACAAGCAUAAGCAUCAUCACAGUUCCAAGGACAAGAAGCGCAAGUCGAGUGGUGACAAGGGAGCCCCUCCUCUAGACGUGGUGACCAAUCAGGACACACUUCAAGUUAGCAACAUGAACCUUGAAGAGUUGGAAGAGCAGAAGGCAAUUUUACAGGCCAAGCUUUAUACGCUUGUCCCUAGUGACUAUGGAAGCUCAGAUGAAGAGGUUCACAAGGGCAAGAAGACCAAGCUGUCUAGCAAAAGCCAAGACAGUGGCAGCAAGAAACAUUCACGAACAUCUUCUCUAGACCACAAGGCUGAUCGGGAGGGAAAAAGUCGAGAGCAUGCUCAUUCUCGCAGUGAUCAUCAUAAAGAAAGGGAAAGGGAUGGCUCUCCUCGUUCAAGCAGGAAAGCCCACACUGAAAAGGCUCAGCAAGAUGCCGCCAGUCCAAGCCAGAAACGGUCCAUGCAGAGGAAGGAGAGCCCUUCACGACACCGAAAGAGCCCCAAGAAAAGCCCCUCAAGGCGAAGCUCUCCGUCCCGCAAGUCACCGUCACGGAAAUUGUCACCGAGUCGAAAAAUAUCCCCCAGUCGCAGGGUUUCUCCUGGUCGCAAGGGCAUGUCUCCAGGCCGCAGAUGCUCUCCAGCCCGAAAGGGGUCUCCUUCACGAAGAGCGUCAUCUCCGAGGAGAGCGUCACCUUUGCACCGGGCGUCACCUCGAAAGGUAUCCCCUUCACGCAAACUCUCACCUGCUCGGAGAGCUUCACCAUCUCGGAGAAUGUCACCAGAUCGCAGGGCAUCACCAUUUCGAAGAUCACUUUCACGAAAAGAAUCCCCAGUACGAAAAGUCUCACCUGUACGAAAGAGCUCGCCCAGUAGGAAAACUUCACCAUUGAGGAAACUUUCACCACCCCGCUACCGAGGACCAGAGUUUGAGCGACGGCGCUCAUUAUCACCAAGGCGUGCCGGAGAUCGACAUGUUCCUAGAAGUCCUUCGCCUCGACGUGCAGCUCCUCGGCGGCUAUCACCACCCAGGAACAUUGGCCGGGAACCUAGCAGGGAAGCAAACCGGGAUGUUCGGCGAGACAGCCGGGAAGCUGGGCGGGAGCGAAGCCCCCGACGACCAAGGCCCCGCAGCCCAAUGCGGCGCAGAGCUGGGCAUUCACGGAGCCCUCGAAGAGGUGAUGCUCGGACAUUGGCUCGGCGAAGCCGCUCUCCUCAUGGCAUGAACAGGAACGAUGAACGAUCUAGGCACAGUCGGGAUCACUGGGACCGCAGAGAUGAUAAAGGGCGUCAUGCAAACAGCUCAAGAAAGAAGCCAAAAUCACCUUCCUCUUCAUCUGAGGAGAUUGAUGAUAUCGAAAUCGAGGAGGACGAAGAUGAAGAGAAGGUGAUUGAACGGCAACGACAGCAACGGCAGGAACUGCUUAAGAGAUUGGGUGUUGAGAACCAAGUUGAAAGCAGUGGAUUUUCAUCUCCAGUGCAUUCACGUGGUAGUGGAACCCACACUCCAGAUUCUGUGACCAUUGAUAACAUGGCGUCGGACAUUAAUGAGAACAGUGAAGACACAACCGAUUUUGAGGCUGCCAUAAUGGCCAAGCGGCAAAUGAUUGUUCAAGAAGGCAACAAUGAAUCGGACACAGGUCAAGAGAAAAAGAAGCAGUUGGAUAUGUUCUCAGAGGACAUGUUUGCUGAGAAUUAUUCUAGUCCCAACUCAGUUCAGAAGAUAUCUUCGCGAGCUCAAGAAAAUCCCAAUCUUACAGACAAUUGGGAUGAUGCAGAGGGCUAUUAUCGUGUUCGUAUUGGUGAAGUACUGGACACACGAUAUACUGUUUAUGGCUACACGGGUCAGGGAGUCUUUAGCAAUGUGGUGCGAGCAAGGGACAUGGCACGAGGAAAUCAGGACGUUGCUGUGAAGAUUAUACGAAACAAUGAAGUCAUGCACCGUACAGGGCUCAAGGAACUUGAAAUGCUGAGACGUCUCAAUGAUGCUGACCCUGAUGACAAAUUUCAUUGUCUUCGGCUGUUUAGGCACUUCUUUCACAAACAACAUCUGUGUCUUGUUUUUGAGCCACUAAGUAUGAACCUUAGAGAGGUACUGAAGAAGUACGGCAAAGAUGUCGGUUUGCACAUAAAGGCUGUGCGGUCUUAUAGUCAGCAGCUGUUUUUUGCCCUCAAACUGCUGAAAAGAUGCAAUAUUCUACAUGCUGAUAUCAAACCUGACAACAUUUUGGUAAACGAGACGAAGCUGGUGUUAAAACUUUGCGAUUUCGGCUCGGCUUCUCACGUGGCUGAAAAUGACAUCACACCUUAUCUUGUCAGCAGGUUUUACCGUGCACCAGAAAUAGUUCUUGGCCUGGGCUAUGACUUUGGUAUUGACAUGUGGAGUGUUGGAUGCACAUUGUAUGAACUUUAUACGGGCAAGAUCAUGUUUCCUGGGAAGUCCAACAACCAGAUGCUAAAGUUCUGUAUGGAUCUGAAAGGAAAGUUUCCUAAUCGUCUUAUUCGAAAAGGAAUCUUCAGAGACCAACAUUUUGAUGCAAACUGCAACUUUCUCUACCACGAAGUAGACAAAGUCACUGAGAGGGAGAAAGUGGUGGUCAUGACAAACAUCAAUCAGACCCGUGACUUAUCCAGUGAGUUAAUUGGACGGCAGCGGCUGCCAGAAGAUCAAGUCAAGAAAGUAGGCCAGCUGAAGGAUCUUUUGGAGAAGACCUUGAUGCUUGACCCUGCAAAGCGGAUAUCGAUCAAUCAUGCCCUGGCCCACCCAUUCAUACAUGACAAGAUUUGAGUGGCAUUGGAUCUUCCCGAAGUUUUUGGUCAAAGGACUGAAGGAAUUUUCAAGCAUCUUAUUUGGGGACUACAAGUGUGUGUGGCAGCUCCUGUUGCUUGCCAAUAUGUUGAGAACUGAUAGGCACUUUGGACUGCCUUCUGACAGGUGAAGCCCAGGGUGCAAGGACGGGAUUCACCUGGCAUGAUUGGUUACCGAUUGUACUAACUGUGUUGACUCUAACUACCAAGAGUCCAAAGGCCAGGUUGAGUCUGGGGCAUUGGCGAAGAAAUUUCCGAAGGAUUCUCAGCGUUUCAGCUACCUCUGCAGGUGUUUGCUGAACCAUGUUGCUGGCCAAUGCAACCCUUGGAUGC